rnacentral:tRNA from 1 species
UCUUCGAUAGUACAGGGGUUAGUAUAUCCGCUUUUCAGGAACUCAACUUCCGGCGCGGACGACCCGGGUUCGAUUCCCGGUCGGAGAA